GAUGAACGCUGGCGGCGUGCCUAAUACAUGCAAGUCGAGCGAACAGACGAGGAGCUUGCUCCUCUGACGUUAGCGGCGGACGGGUGAGUAACACGUGGAUAACCUACCUAUAAGACUGGGAUAACUUCGGGAAACCGGAGCUAAUACCGGAUAAUAUAUUGAACCGCAUGGUUCAAUAGUGAAAGACGGUUUUGCUGUCACUUAUAGAUGGAUCCGCGCCGCAUUAGCUAGUUGGUAAGGUAACGGCUUACCAAGGCAACGAUGCGUAGCCGACCUGAGAGGGUGAUCGGCCACAAUGAAACUGAGACACGGUCCAGACUCCUACGGGAGGCAGCAGUAGGGAAUCUUCCGCAAUGGGCGAAAGCCUGACGGAGCAACGCCGCGUGAGUGAUGAAGGUCUUCGGAUCGUAAAACUCUGUUAUUAGGGAAGAACAAAUGUGUAAGUAACUAUGCACGUCUUGACGGUACCUAAUCAGAAAGCCACGGCUAACUACG
rnacentral:rRNA from 1 species